AAACAUCUUGACAUGCAGUAAUUAAUUAUAUGAAGGACAGUGUGACAGCCUGGAUGUGUUUCACUCUUUCCACCAUUCAGGAGGAGAUGCACCGAUCCAAAUAUGCUGAAGAAGCAGCUGGUUAUCAGAAGUAUUGGUUGGUGGUGCCUGCGGAAGUGUCUACAAUUGUAUAAACAUCUGUUGUGAACUGCUGCUUGAAAAAAGUAUGGAAGAAGUGAUGUAAUUCAAAGUUGAGACGGAUCAAAGAAAGCUAUGCAAGGAUUGAACAAACAUCUGAAAAUGUUUGGGUUCUCAAACCAAAUGUCACAUUUGCAGUUUGCAUGGGUGAAUGGAAUUUAUUGAGGUAGAUUUUCUACAGUUGGAUGUCCUCCCUGUUACCAAUCUUCAUCUGUUUCCAAGCAAGUAUUUAAUCAACUAAAGGCAGGAUAUUUCAACCAAACAAAUAUGGUAACAGGAGGGUUGAAUUGUGAAUCACAAGAAACUAGAACUGAAUUAUUUCCAUCAAAAUAGUAAUGUUCUCUGCUUUAACAAGUAUACUACGUUGAGGAUAAAUAUAGGUUAUUUAAGUACACUGAUUUAAAAAGUGUUUUUAGUUGCUCAUUAGAAACCAAUCACAAAUUGCCAUUUCAUAGAUUUAUACACUGCUUCAAAGUUUGCUUGAUGCAAUAGUUUCUUAGGUCUGAUCUCAUUGAAAACAACUGCUCCAGUCAGUUUAACCCUUUAGUGUUCAGAUUACUCUGUUAAAUGUAAUACUUUUUCACUCAAAUUGUUUUGAAUUAAUCAUGCAUUAUCUUAUAAUGCGUUGAGGUUUCAAUAAUGUGAUUGUUUAUUUUUAGAAUGUCAAUGUAGGUUAGGUGUGAGAGGUAGAUAUCGCCAGUUUGAAUAUAAAACAUGUAGAAUAUAUUGGGGCGGAUAUGGCCGAAUUAAACACUAAAGGGUUAAUGUUGGCUCUGCAUAUUCAGCUCCAUUAUUCAGUGGAUAGGAACUGUCAUUUGAAUCAACUGCCUUACAUUUAAUCUAUUGACCUCAAAGAGUAAAGUUGAUCAAAAGAUUUUAAGCCAGAUGCUAAGAAAUAAAACUGAAUAUUCUUAGCUAUUAUUCUAGCCCCAAGCCAGCCCUGAGUGAGCAGACUAUGAUCAAAGGCAUUUCAACUGUGACCAUAUUGUCUUUUAUGUAGAUCUUAUUAAACUUUUCAAAGGAUCCUUUUCACAAAAGUAUGGCAUAAAUGAAAGAGAAUUGACUACUGUUUCUAGCAGGCUGAGGGACUGUAUAGAGAGAGUUCUCCUAUUAGUUCAAAAUUUUGAUUCAGCCUGAUAGCUACCUUAAAGGUAUACAUAUCUGUUGACAGUUCGACCUUACAUAUUACACAUUGAUCUGAAGAGCAGAUUGUUCAGUUGGUUGAACAACUGAAAAUUCAUUGUCAAAACUAACAGAUCCAUUAAAUAUGAAAAUAUUAAUAUUUGAAAGACAACCCUCACAAACAGAUACUGAGAGAUAUACAUCAGAACUUGAAAAUAAACUCUUUGUAGUAAUUCUAAGUCAUAUCAUUGCCAUCAAACAACAACACUUAGAUUAAUAAAGUAUCUUCUCACAGAAAUUUUUCAUCUUUUACUCGUUUUAGUUGACUGCUGUCAUGCUUCAGUCAUGCCUUGAAGAAUUUUAGUCAAACAAAUUGACUUCAGCGCUUAUAUUUUUCUAAGCCUAGUACUUAUCCUCUCGGUCUGUUUUGCUGAACUGCUAAGCUAUGGGGAUGUAAACACACCAGCACCAGUUGGUAGUGGGGAAUAAACAGACAAACACACACAAGACAGGCUUCUUUCAGUUUCUGUAACUCAAAUCCAUUCGCAAGGCUUUGAUCAGCCCAAGGCUAUGGUAGAAGACACUUGCCCAAGGUGCCAGAACCAUGUGGUUGGCAAGCAAACUUCUUACCACACAGCCAUGGCAGCACCUAUAAUACUCUAAAACUUGUUUCAAUUUUAAAGCUGCAGUCAUGCUGGAGCACCACCAUUAAACGCUGGUGUUUCUUUCAUUUAUUAAUUAGCAUUACAAUUAGGGUGGAAUGAAUCUAUAAAUUACAAUUGCUUGUUUAUGAAUUGUCAGACCAAGCACUUCUUACAGUUUGAUCACUGAGCUUCGUGAUACUUAGUCAAUUGUAAAGUAGCACUGGUUUCCAAUUUUAUCAGGAAAGGUGAAACAAAUAAUACUUCACCCCAAAAUAUAGAAAU